rnacentral:rRNA from 1 species
GCAAAGGUAGCAUAAUCAUUUGCCCCUUAAUUGGGGGCUGGUAUGAAAGAAAUUUUGAGGUUUUAGCUGUCUCUUUCUUGUGUUAGAAUUUUCUGUUUUUGUGAAGAAGCAAAGGUGUUAAAAAAAGACAAGAAGACCCUUUUAAGCUUUAUUUUUUUUGUUUUAUUUGUUUCUUUUAAGUAUGUUAAUAAAUUUAAAAAAAUUUGGUUGGGGUGACUAAAGAAGAAAAAAUCUUCUUUAGUUAGAAAAAACUUUAAGUUUAAUUUUGACCCAAGAUUUUUUGGUUGAAAGAAUUAGUUACUAAAGGGAUAACAGCGUAAUCUUUUCAGAGAGUUCUUAUUGAAGAAAAGGAUUGCGACCUCGAUGUUGACUUGUUUUUUCCUUUUAAGGUGUAGAAGUUGAAAGGGUUGG